rnacentral:SRP_RNA from 1 species
GCUGGGCAUUGUGGCAGGUGCCUGUAGUCCCAGCUACUGGGAGGCUGAGGCAAGAGAAUCGCCUAAGCCCAGGAGUCGGAGGUUGCUGUGAGCUGUGUGACAGCAUGGCACUCUACCGAGGGCUAAAAAAAAAAAAUCAAAACAAUGCUAGGAGGACAAAGAUAUUUUCCCAUAAAGCCUUGUGAGGCAGGGAAAGUAGAUUUUCUUUUAUUAUUUUUUAUUUUUUUUUGUAGAGUCAGAGUUUCACUUUAUCGCCCACGGUAGAGUGCUCUGGCAUCACAGCUCCCAGCAACCUCCAGCUCUUGGGCUUAGGCGAUUCCCUUGCCUUAG